UAUCAAAUAAUGUCAUCGUACGAAUAAAAAUUGCUGUAAAUAAUUCUUUGGGAAUUCUCCUCGUUUAAAAAAGUGAUGGGCUUUGUUGUGAAGCAUUUGAUUGAUGAUCUG